UGGGGAAUAUUGCACAAUGGGCGCAAGCCUGAUGCAGCCAUGCCGCGUGUGUGAAGAAGGCCUUCGGGUUGUAAAGCACUUUCAGCGAGGAGGAAGGGUAGUGUGUUAAUAGCACAUUGCAUUGACGUUACUCGCAGAAGAAGCACCGGCUAACUCCGUGCCAGCAGCCGCGGUAAUACGGAGGGUGCAAGCGUUAAUCGGAAUUACUGGGCGUAAAGCGCACGCAGGCGGUUUGUUAAGUCAGAUGUGAAAUCCCCUCGCUUAACGUGGGAACUGCAUUUGAAACUGGCAAGCUAGAGUCUUGUAGAGGGGGGUAGAAUUCCAGGUGUAGCGGUGAAAUGCGUAGAGAUCUGGAGGAAUACCGGUGGCGAAGGCGGCCCCCUGGACAAAGACUGACGCUCAGGUGCGAAAGCGUGGGGAGCAAACA
rnacentral:rRNA from 1 species